GGGGGCGACAUGGCUUCGACGCAGGUGUCAAAACCCAAGGUGCAUGCCGAGGUUGCAAUCCACCUCGAUAAACCGGUUGCAACAAAGAUAGUUGCCAACGACGACAACUACGCUCUGGCGGCCUAAAACCCGCUAGCGUUCGACCCGGCAAGUGCCUGUGCUUCCGGACUCGAACGUCAUACCUCACAGGAUCGCGGUUGAAGCCCCGUCCCGGGCGGACCCGUUAAGAGUAAACGGGACUAAGCGAUUGUUUUCCCUGUCCGCCGGGUAGCAUUCGCCGACAACCAAAGGCGGAAUAAGCAUGUAGAUCCGAGGGUGGAGUUCCUGCGGACGCGGGUUCGAUUCCCGCCGCCUCCACCA
rnacentral:tmRNA from 1 species